UACAGAGGGGGCAAGCGUUGUCCGGAAUUACUGGGCGUACAGCGCGCGCAGGCGGUGGCCGACGUGCCGUGUGACAAGCGGGGGCUCAACCCCCGAGGGCCACGGUAAACGGGGUGACUGGAGGACGGGAGAGGGAUGUGGAAUGCCCGGUGGAGCGGUGAAAUGCGUAGAGAUCGGAAAGAACACCAACGGCGAAAGCACUCUGCUGGGCCGACACUGACACUGAGAGACGAAAGCUAGGGGAGCGAAUGGG
rnacentral:rRNA from 1 species